UACGUAGGGUGCGAGCGUUGUCCGGAUUUAUUGGGCGUAAAGAGCUCGUAGGCGGUUUGUCGCGUCGUUCGUGAAAUCUCCACGCUUAACGUGGAGCGUGCGGUCGAUACGGGCAGGCUAGAGUUCGGUAGGGGAGACUGGAAUUCCUGGUGUAAGCGGUGAAAUGCGCAGAUAUCAGGAGGAACACCGGUGGCGAAGGCGGGGUCUCUGGGCCG
rnacentral:rRNA from 1 species